GCUGGUGAUCAGAGACUCCAGAUGGGCCGGCCACGUUAGGCUUGGCCCAUUAGCCCAGUAUAUAUAUGGGCUGGUUUUCACAUUCUUCCCUCCUUAAAAUAAUUUCGUCCUCGAAAUUUACAUUCCUUAAUUCUUAAACAAAUGAAGUUACUUAGUCUUUUAUCUAACAUUCUACCACGUUUCCGCUGCGCACUCUGAUUCAAAACACUAAAAUCUUUGGAUUCACUAAUAGCUUUUGAUCAAAAUACUACUUGUAUUAUGAACUAAAGAGAUCCAUAUUUACAAUUUUCCAAGUACAACCUAAAAGAAAGAAUAUUUGAUUCUUAAAUACAUCCAAUCUAGAUUAAUCUCUCAAGUCAAUUGUUCCAUUCAAAAUCAUCAUAUGGGCUCGUUACUAUAAUUCCAAAACUGUAUGGAAUCUUAAUUCUCUUAUUAAUUCAACUGGACGAUUCCAAGUCAAACUUUUAUAACUAAAAAUUAACUAGAAAAAUUUUCUUAAUGCUCGACCAAACUGCAAGACUUUAAUUCAACACAAAAUGAGUCAAACCUCAAAGAUCUUCCAUUUUAACCAUCUAAGUCUCUAAAAUUUAAAUUCUUUAUGCAAAUUUAGGUUUCCACAAUAACCUCAACAAUAUUGACAAAAGACCCUAGAUUAACUUAUAAUUCUAAACUUUGAAUUGAAAUUCCAUAUACAUCAUAUAGUCUACAAUAGAUAUGAAUAAAAUCUAUUAUUUAGAUCCAAAGACGAUGAUUAAAACUAUUAAUAAUUUUACCAAGAUGAAUACAAUAAAAUCAAUUCUUCCAUAAGAAAAUAGACCUAUUUGCAAUAACUCACAACAUAUUUUUUCUUCAACAUAAGAGUUUCAUUCAUACUCCACAAACAUGUUCAAACCUCGAAGAGUAUUUAAUUAGGUAUCAUAAAAAUCUUUCAUAGCUUAAAUCUUAAACAAUUUCUUAUGAAGAGAUCCUAACUUGCCACAAAAUGAUUAACUUCAAGCUAGAAGUGAUAUUACAAUAUACCUCCAUAUCAAAAUGAACUUCCAAAUUGACUAAUAAAUAAAUAAU
rnacentral:lncRNA from 1 species